rnacentral:sRNA from 1 species
UGAAAAGAAGAAAGGUUGGCAAAACAAUGAUCUAAGUCAGUGCUAUUCCCAGAAGUUUCUGCAGCAAUAGAAAACUUUUAAAUAAUUGUUACAUGUAUGCCCUAAUAAGGACAACAAGCUUUUCACAUAUAUAAAUGCGUAUGUUUCUCUUCUCUGAGGUUACCUGUUUAUAUCCUUUAUCUGAAUUUUCAGAUGGAGUGU